rnacentral:rRNA from 1 species
UACGUAGGGGGCAAGCGUUGUCCGGAAUCAUUGGGCGUAAAGCGCGCGUAGGCGGCUAGAUCAGUCUGCUGUAAAAGUCAAAGGCUCAACCUUUGAAAGCCGGUGGAUACUGUCUAGCUAGAGUCCGGAAGAGGCGAGUGGAAUUCCUGGUGUAGCGGUGGAAUGCGCAGAUAUCAGGAGGAACACCAACGGCGAAGGCAGCUCGCUGGGACGGUACUGACGCUAAGGCGCGAAAGCUUGGGGAGCGAACAGG